rnacentral:lncRNA from 1 species
AAAAAUAUCCUUAUUUUGGUCUGAAUUUAGAGCUUGUGAUCCAAAUAAAAGUAAAUCCGUGUUUAGUGUGACUGGAUAAUUAAUUGAGAAAAUAAUGUCAUUACGCAAUUCGUCAUAUUUUUUACAAUGCAAUAAGAAAUGAGCUGUAGACUCGAUCAAACCACACGAGCAGUUUGAAGAAUCUACUAGAUUUCGUUUGAACAAAUGUUCAUUUAGAGAACUACUAUUCAUCCUUAACCUGGCAUGCAAUACUUGACCCAUUCUUGUACCAGUGUAGUAAAAAUUAGGGC